GCCUGGCUGGCUCAGUAAAUAGAGCAUGAGACUCUUGAACUCAAGGUCGUAGGUUUGAGUCCCACACUGGGUG
rnacentral:tRNA from 1 species